GAUGAACGCUAGCUACAGGCUUAACACAUGCAAGUCGAGGGGAAACGGCAUCGAAAUCUUGCUUUUGAUGGGCGUCGACCGGCGCACGGGUGAGUAACGCGUAUCCCACCUGCCCAUGACUUGGGAAUAACCUUGCGAAAGUAACACUAAUGCACCAUGACAUCCCACGAAGGCAUCCGAAUGGGUUUAAAGAUUUAUCGGUGAUGGAUGGGGAUGCGUCGGAUUAGCUUGUUGUCGGGGUGACGGCCCACCAAGGCAACGAUCAGUAGGGGUUCUGAGAGUAACGGCCCUGAGAGGGGAACCGGCAAACGGUGCAAACAGAUACGGGAGGGAGUAGUGAGGAAGACAGGAGAAGGGGCUAGAGCCUGAACCAGCCAAGUAGCGUGCAGGAUGACCGCCCUAUGGGUGAUAAACUGCUUUUAGAAGGGAACAAAGUGGGUCACGGGUGACUUUUUGCAGGUACCUGAUGAAUAAGGACCGGCUAAUUCCGUG
rnacentral:rRNA from 1 species